CUCCUAGAUUACUGUUGUGUUCUAUUUGGGGUUGCCUUUGAAAAGUUCCAAGAGCUCCAAAAGGUCUAGAAUGCAAUGGGCCAACUGUUAGUAGGGGCCCACCUGCUGGGUACAUGUGCUUCUCUUGCUAAGGCAAUGGCACUGGGUUCCAGUUUGUUUCUGAGCCUAAUUCAAGUGCUGGUGAUGAUACUGAAAGCCUUUCAGAGAUUGGAAUGGUGAUAUUUUCAAUGGAAGCCUUCUUGUGUGACCAGAGGUGUAAAAUCACUCAUGGAGGAGUGGGGAAUGGAAAAUUUUUGGAUGGAUACUGGUUUUAUUUCCAUUUUUUUCCAAAGCCUCCUAGACAAUGCAUUUUGCAAAGGAAGUAGAUUUGGCACAUGUCUACAUCUUGUGUCUAAAAUGCGGCUCAGCCUAUGAACUGGAAAAUUCAUUUUGUUUCAGCCACGAGACCUCGUAAGUUUGCUUUUAAAGACACUACAAGAUUCUCAGCAUUCUGAAUUUUGCAUCAAACUUCAAAUUUAACAGGUGUGAGGGACUGAUGUUGCCCUAACUGAAAAGACAACCUUUGUGGGAACAACAAAGGGGAGACCAAGACCUCUCCCGUUUUUGGACAUAGGAAGCUGCCUUAUAUCAAGAGAUGAAAGGCAUUGAAACCAUCUACCCCAACUACGGAGACCAAAUUCCAUGCUAAAGCAACUUUUAAGAAGUAACAGGGGUGGAAUCUAGACACAUAUAAAAAAAAUUGUGAAAAUGCUUUUUUUUAACGUUUUGAAAAAUAUAUUGAAUUUGCCAUAGCUCACCAUCACCAUCUACUGUCACAUUUGUAUAAUGCACUCUACAGCACACUUAAAACAUUUUAUUUGCAGCUGUAUAGCUGAGUCCUGGGUUGCCUGUGCUCAUAGGGAAUUUGUUGCAUCCCACUGCAAAGAUUUGCACUUUUAGCCUUGUCAUAGGUGACCUCUAAACACAGGAUCUAAGAUACAUAUGUAGUAGAGAAGCAGGAUGUGGAUGUCCAUAUUGUGUUGCUUAGUGGGGUCCCCUGGAAUGCACAAGACAUGGAUGGACAACCUGUUGCCUUCCAAUGUUGUUGGAUUCCAAUUCCCAUUAUACCUGACCAUUGCCCACACCAGCAACAUCUGGAAGGCCACAGGUUGCUUAUCCCCAGAACCCAGUGUAAAAGGUUAAAAAGUCUGGUGAUAAAAACUUACCCCAAUGGGAACGGGUCAUAUGAUAACCUGCAACAGAAAGAGGAGGAAUCAACAGGGACAACUGUGACCCAGGAUUUAAAGCUAAAGAUACACAAUCAAAACCCAGAAGUAAUCACAGGACUUUUAUUCCAAGAAGAAGAAAAUAAUUGGGGGGAGGAUUGGAUUGCCCCAAAUAUUCUCCCCAGCUCCUGAUGCUAAGACUGCUUUUUUAAAUCUCUCCCAGUUCCCCAGGCACUGUGCUUAAACCUAAGCCUUGGUGUGAAAUGGACAGGAGGAGACAGGAUCUCCAUCUCGCAGCUCUCAGACAAGGGCAAGCAGUGGGAACACAAGAUGCUAGCCAAUAAGAUGUCAAUUGAAUGUGAAUGGCAUCGGCCAAUGCACUGUUGGAGGAGAGCACAGCUGAUCUAAUAACUGAACUGUUUUUUGCUCUAUGGUGUUUCAUGGGAAGAGUUUCCUACUAAAAGAAUGGGGGGCACUCCUUAAGUUUGUAGAUAUCAAGUCAAUAUCAUUUAAUGAUGUCACGAAAGGAACACAUGAAGUUGCCUUGACAGAAGACGCUUUGUCCAUCUUGCCCAGUUUUUCCUUCACUGUCAGAGAUGCUUCAGGGAUGUGGUCCAUCAUGUCUUUUCUCCAAAUCACGGUAAUAGUGCACUUGCAAUUUCAGUGUUUUUGUUUUAA